rnacentral:rRNA from 1 species
UACGCAGACGGUUUGGUAGGUCGGGCGUGAAAGCCCUGGGCUCAACCCAGGAAAUGCGCUCGAAACCGCCUCACUCGAGUAUAGGAGAGGAAAGCGGAAUUCCCGGUGUAGAGGUGAAAUUCGUAGAUAUCGGGAGGAACACCAGCGGCGAAGGCGGCUUUCUGGCCUAUUACUGACGUUCAGGUACGAAAGCGUGGGUAGCAAACAG